rnacentral:rRNA from 1 species
AUUGAACGCUGGCGGCAUGCCUUACACAUGCAAGUCGAACGGCAGCACGGGAGCAAUCCUGGUGGCGAGUGGCGAACGGGUGAGUAAUAUAUCGGAACGUGCCCAGUCGUGGGGGAUAACGUAGCGAAAGCUACGCUAAUACCGCAUACGAUCUAUGGAUGAAAGCGGGGGAUCGCAAGACCUCGCGCGAUUGGAGCGGCCGAUAUCAGAUUAGGUAGUUGGUGAGGUAAAGGCUCACCAAGCCGACGAUCUGUAGCUGGUCUGAGAGGACGACCAGCCACACUGGGACUGAGACACGGCCCAGACUCCUACGGGAGGCAGCAGUGGGGAAUAUUGGACAAUGGGCGAAAGACCUGAUCCAGCAAUGCCGCGUGAGUGA